rnacentral:rRNA from 1 species
AUGUACAUUCCUACAACACAAUGUUAAUACACCAAAUCCCAUUAUAACUCCGCAUUUAAGAGUGCUCAAGCUAGAGUAAUACUGGGAUGGGUGACCGCCCGAGAAUUCCCACUGUUUUACAUG